rnacentral:rRNA from 1 species
AGUGCAUGUGGUGGAUGCCUUGGCAGUCAGAGGCGAUGAAAGACGUGAUAGCCUGCGAAAAGCUCCGGGGAGGCGGCAAAUAUCCUUUGAUCCGGAGAUGUCUGAAUGGGGGAACCCACCUACUUUAAGGUAGGUAUUGCAACAUGAAUACAUAGUGUUGCAAGGCGAACGAGGGGAAGUGAAACAUCUCAGUACCCUUAGGAAAAGAAAUCAAUUGAGAUUCCCUCAGUAGCGGCGAGCGAACGGGGAUCAGCCCAUUAAGUUAUGUGUGUUUUAGUGGAACGCUCUGGGAAGUGCGAACGUAGAGGGUGAUAUUCCCGUACACGAAAGGGCACACAUAAUGAUGACGAGUAGGGCGAGGCACGUGAAACCUUGUCUGAAUAUGGGGGGACCAUCCUCCAAGGCUAAAUACUCCUGACUGACCGAUAGUGAACCAGUACCGUGAGGGAAAGGCGAAAAGAACCCCUGUGAGGGGAGUGAAAUAGAUCCUGAAACCGCAUGCAUACAAGCAGUGGGAGCACCUUCGUGGUGUGACUGCGUACCUUUUGUAUAAUGGGUCAGCGACUUAUAUUCAGUAGCGAGGUUAACCGUAUAGGGGAGCCGUAGAGAAAUCGAGUCUUAAUAGGGCGUUUAGUUGCUGGGUAUAGACCCGAAACCAGGCGAUCUAUCCAUGAGCAGGUUGAAGGUUGGGUAACACUAACUGGAGGACCGAACCCACUGUCGUUGAAAAGCCAGGGGAUGACUUGUGGAUAGGGGUGAAAGGCUAAUCAAGCCUGGUGAUAGCUGGUUCUCCCCGAAAGCUAUUUAGGUAGCGCCUCGGACGAAUACCAUAGGGGGUAGAGCACUGUUUCGGCUAGGGGGUCAUCCCGACUUACCAAACCGAUGCAAACUCCGAAUACCUAUGAGUACUAUCCGGGAGACAGACUGCGGGUGCUAACGUCCGUAGUCAAGAGGAAAACAAUCCAGACCGCCAGCUAAGGCCCCAAAAUCAUAGUUAAGUGGGAAACGAUGUGGGAAGGCAUAGACAGCUAGGAGGUUGGCUUAGAAGCAGCCACCCUUUAAAGAAAGCGUAAUAGCUCACUAGUCGAGUCGGCCUGCGCGGAAGAUGUAACGGGGCUAAAACUAUGUGCCGAAGCUGCGGAUNNUGCUGGAGGUAUCAGAAGUGCGAAUGCUGACGUGAGUAACGACAAAACGGGUGAAAAACCCGUUCGCCGAAAGACCAAGGGUUCCAGUCCAACGUUAAUCGGGGCUGGGUGAGUCGACCCCUAAGGCGAGGCCGAAAGGCGUAGUCGAUGGGAAAAUGGUUAAUAUUCCAUUACUUCUGUGUAAUGCGAUGAGAGGACGGAGAAGGCUAAAUCAGCCUGGCGUUGGUUGUCCAGGUGAAAGGAUGUAGGCAUGUAUCUUAGGCAAAUCCGGGGUACUCUAUGCUGAGAUCUGAUAGCAAGCUGUACUUGUACAGCGAAGUGGUUGAUGCCAUGCUUCCAGGAAAAGUCUCUAAGCUUCAGUUACACAGGAAUCGUACCCGAAACCGACACAGGUGGUCAGGUCGAGUAGACCAAGGCGCUUGAGAGAACUCUGCUGAAGGAACUAGGCAAAAUGGUACCGUAACUUCGGGAGAAGGUACGCUGUUGUUGGUGAUGGAACUCGCUUCCUGAGCUGACGACAGCCGCAGAAACCAGGCCGCUGCAACUGUUUAUUAAAAACAUAGCACUCUGCAAACACGAAAGUGGACGUAUAGGGUGUGAUGCCUGCCCGGUGCUGGAAGGUUAAUUGAUGGGGUUAGCGUAAGCGAAGCUCUUGAUCGAAGCCCCAGUAAACGGCGGCCGUAACUAUAACGGUCCUAAGGUAGCGAAAUUCCUUGUCGGGUAAGUUCCGACCUGCACGAAUGGCAUAAUGAUGGCGGCGCUGUCUCCAGCAGAGGCUCAGUGAAAUCGAAAUCGCUGUGAAGAUGCAGUGUACCCGCGGCUAGACGGAAAGACCCCGUGAACCUUUACUGCAGCUUGACACUGAACUUUGACCUUACUUGUGUAGGAUAGGUGGGAGGCUUUGAAGCUGGAACGCUAGUUCCAGUGGAGCCGUCCUUGAAAUACCACCCUGGUAAUGUUGAGGUUCUAACUCUGUCCCGUGAUCCGGGACGAGGACCGUGUCUGGUGGGUAGUUUGACUGGGGCGGUCUCCUCCUAAAGAGUAACGGAGGAGUACGAAGGUGCGCUCAGCGUGGUCGGAAAUCACGCGUAGAGUAUAAAGGCAAAAGCGCGCUUAACUGCGAGACCCACAAGUCGAGCAGGUACGAAAGUAGGUCUUAGUGAUCCGGUGGUUCUGUAUGGAAGGGCCAUCGCUCAACGGAUAAAAGGUACUCUGGGGAUAACAGGCUGAUACCGCCCAAGAGUUCAUAUCGACGGCGGUGUUUGGCACCUCGAUGUCGGCUCAUCUCAUCCUGGGGCUGAAGCAGGUCCCAAGGGUAUGGCUGUUCGCCAUUUAAAGAGGUACGCGAGCUGGGUUUAGAACGUCGUGAGACAGUUCGGUCCCUAUCUACCGUGGGCGCUGGAAAUUUGAGAGGAUCUGCUCCUAGUACGAGAGGACCAGAGUGGACGAACCUCUGGUGUACCGGUUGUGACGCCAGUCGCAUCGCCGGGUAGCUAUGUUCGGAAGGGAUAACCGCUGAAAGCAUCUAAGCGGGAAGCCUACCUCAAGAUAAGAUUUCCCUAGGACUUUAUGUCCUCUAAAGAGCCGUUCGAGACUAGGACGUUGAUAGGUUGGAUGUGGAAGCAUAGUGAUAUGUGAAGCUGACCAAUACUAAUUGCUCGUGAGGCUUGACU